CAGCGACUAGACAUGACCUUCAAAUACAGCUCUCAGGAGUACAGAGACCAUCUGCAGGAGGCAAUAACUGCAUGGGAGCAGGCUGCUUUGCUGGUCCAGCAGAGGGAGUUAUUGCUGUCUAAGUUGGAAGAGUUUGAGAAAGAGGCAUCUGACCCCAACAGAUUUUUUCAAUGAGGUUAUCAUAGUUCAUCCAUGACUAGAGUGGACGAGGCAAGUCAGAGAGAGAAGCUUAAAACUCAGCUGUAGACAAAGAGCUUUCUGAGAUCAUUGACCACAUCACAACCCAUUUCAAUGACAUCAUCACCUACAAGGGUCAUCCUUACUGCGAGAAAAUGUGCUGGGCUGUACUGAGAUGCUGUAUUGGCUGCAGCAGGAGAGGGGAGUCCAGUCCCUGGAGAUGUUUGUAAAGCGACGGAUGGCUCUGCCUGUAAGGCUGCUUCCUCUGAUCCACAGCCAGGUGUUUUAUGCAACAAUGAUCUCCCAAUAAUGUCUGUCAGACUUUGAGAGAA